GAUGAAGAACGUAGUGAAAUGCGAUAAGUAGUGUGAAUUGCAGAAUUCAGUGAAUCAUCGAAUCUUUGAACGCACAUUGCGCCCUUUGGUAUUCCUUAGGGCAUGCCUGUUCGAGCGUCAUUUAAACCUUCAAGCUAAGCUUGGUGUUGGGUGACUGUCCGCCUCACGGCGGACUCGCCUCAAAAUUAUUGGCGGCCGGUACAUUGGCUUCGAGCGCAGCAGAAACGCGAACUCGGGCCCGUCGUAUUGGCUCCCAGAAGCUAUCUUCACAAUUUUGACCUCGGAUCAGGUAGGGAUACCCGCUGAACUUAAGCAUAUCAAUAAGCGGAGGA
rnacentral:misc_RNA from 1 species